rnacentral:rRNA from 1 species
AGACGCUGGCGGCGUGCCUAACACAUGCAAGUCAACUUGACUGAAGGAGCAAUCUGACAGUAGAGUGGCGCAAGGGUGCGUAACGACGUAAGUAACUUGCCCAAGGUAAGGAAUAACGUCGAGAAAUCGGCGCUAAUACCUCAUAAUGCAGCGGAUCCGCAUGGAUAUGUUGUUAAAGGUUUACCGCCUUGGGAUAGGCUUGCGUCUGAUUAGCUAGUUGGUGUGGUAACGGCACACCAAGGCUACGAUCAGUAACUGGUCUGAGAGGAUGAUCAGUCACACUGGAACUGAGACACGGUCCAGACUCCUACGGGAGGCAGCAGUGAGGAAUAUUGGGCAAUGCUCGAAAGAGUGACCCAGCAACGCCGCGUGGAGGAUGAAGGUAUUCUAUAUCGUAAACUCCUGUGAGAGCAGACGAAAGACAGAUUAUUAAUCUGGAUGACUGUAUGCUCAGAGGAAGCCCCGGCUAACUACGUG